rnacentral:rRNA from 1 species
CGAGGCACUUACGGUGCUUGAAGUUAACAAAUGCCCUGCUUCCAGGAAAAGCCUCUAAGCAUCAGGUAACAUCAAAUCGUACCCCAAACCGACA